ACGUUUACCGUGAAAAAAUUAGAGUGUUCAAAGCGGGCAGAUAUUUUUCCUGCCACCGAAUACAUUAGCAUGGGAUAAUGGAAUAGGACCCUGACCUCCUAUUUUCAGUUGGUUUUGUUUACAGCGAGGUUAUAUCAGGGUAAUGAUUAAUAGGGAUAGUUGGGGGCAUUAAUAUUUAAUUGUCAGAGGUGAAAUUCUUGGAUUUAUGAAAGAUUAACUUCUGCGAAAGCGUUUGCCAAGGAUGUUUUCAUUAAUCAAGAACGAAAGUUAGGGGAUCGAAGACGAUCAGAUACCGUCGUAGUCUUAACCAUAAACGAUGCCGACCAGCGAUUAGGAGACGUUGAAUACAAAACACCGCCGUUAAUCC
rnacentral:rRNA from 1 species